rnacentral:lncRNA from 1 species
GUGCUGUUCCUGUGGGGGAGAGAUUCUUCUGAGGAAAGGCUCCCGUGGGGGAAAGGUUCUUCUGAGGAAAGGCUCCCGUGGGGUUGCCAUGGAAGCCAAGAAAGGGAGUGUGUGUGUGUGUGUGUGUGUGUGUGUGUGUGUGUGUGUGUGUGUGUGCGUGUGCCUGUGUGUGCACAGGAGAGAAACUGUGUUCAUCUGAUGAAUGGGCAUGUGCCUGAACUCGAUUUUCUGCACCUACUGUAGUCUCAUCCAUUCAUUUCUAAUGACCAGUCAUUAGUCAUCUCUCCAAUCCAUCGUCCGCACUCUCGCUGUCUGUCUGUCUGUCUGUCUGUCUGUCUGUCUGUCUGUCUCGCUGUCUGUCUGUCGGUCGGUCUGUUUCUCUGUCUCCUCAUCUCCAUUCCUUUUCUCUCAACCACCUGUCUUCCCAUUCCCUCUUUCCUUCUUGACACCCUCCCUUUCAUCCCUUUCUCAUUGUUUCCUUUUCCCCCUCUCACUCCCUGCUUUUCAUUCUGUCUCUUCUUUUUCUGCUUUCCUCUCUCCCUUUCUUUUUCUCAUAUUUUCCCAUUUUCCUGUUUCUCUCUCCAUGUUCUCUCCUACUCCCUCUCUCCUUUUACCCUCUCUCUCUCUCCCCUUCUCUCUACCUCUCCUCUCUCUCUUUUCUUUCCCUCUCUCUCCCCUUCUCUCUCUCCACUUCUCCGUCACCCUGUCCUUCUCUGUCUCCACUUCUCUGUCACCCUGUCCUUCUCUCGCCGUCCUUCUCUCUCUCUCCUUCUCUCUCUCCCCACUUCUCCGUCACCCUGUCCUUCUCUCUCCCGUUGUCUGCCCUUCUUCUGUUCUUCAUACAUAUUCAGAAGGCGGAAAGGAGGGCUGAGGAGGUGCCUGCUACUGCUUGUUAACAGCCUUGGUAAUGACCCCCCUCUUUACACACACACACACACACACAUGCAGCAGAAAAUGCCCUGGGUGCGGCCUCCCUCCCACCCUCUCUCUCUCUUUCUCUAUCUCUCCUGUGCCUUCCUUCUCUCUUCACCUAUUGAUCUGUGUCUGUCUGUCUGUCUGUCUGUCUGUCUGUCUGUCUGUCUGUCUGUCUGUCUGUCUGUCGGCCUGUCUCUCUUGUGUAUCUCCCCCAUCCUCCACAUCGAUGUCUUUGUUCAUAACUGUCUGCCGACCUCUCCUCU